CACAUGCAAGUCGAGGGGCAUCGAGAGAGUAGCAAUACUUUGUCGGCGACCGGCGGACGGGUGCGUAACGCGUAUGCAACCUACCUUAUACAGGGGGAUAACCUUUCGAAAGGGAGACUAAUACCGCAUAACAUUACUUUGAGGCAUCUUGAGGUAAUUAAAUCUUCGGAGGUAUGAGAUAGGCUCGCGUGACAUUAGCUAGAUGGCGGGGUAACGGCCCACCAUGGCUACGAUGUCUAGGGGUUCUGAGAGGAAGGUCCCCCACACUGGAACUGAGACACGGUCCAGACUCCUACGGGAGGCAGCAGUGAGGAAUAUUGGUCAAUGGUCUGACGACUGAACCAGCCAUGCCGCGUGAAGGUGACGGCCCUAUGGGUCUUAAACUUCUUUUGCAAGGGAGCAAUAAGGCGUACGUGUACGUCGAUGAGAGUACCUUGCGAAUAAGCAUCGGCUAACUCCGUG
rnacentral:rRNA from 1 species